GAUGAACGCUGGCGGCGUGCUUAACACAUGCAAGUCGAACGGUGAAGCAGAGCUUGCCCUGUGGACCAGUGGCGAACGGGUGAGUAACACGUGAGCAACCUGCGCCUGACACUGCGAUAAGCGCUGGAAACGGCGUCUAAUACAGGAUAUGAGCUGCGACCGCAUGGUCAGCAGUUGGAAAGAUUUUUCGGUGUGGGGUGGGCCCACGGCCUAUCAGCUGUUUGGUGGGGGAAUGGCUGACCAAGGGGUCGAGGGGAAGCCGGCCGGGGGGGGGGAACGGCGCCACUGGGGGCGAGAGACGGCCCCGACUCCUACGGGGGGGGGAAGUGGGGAAAAUUGCACAAAGGGGGCAAGCCCGAUGCAGAGAAGCCGCGUGGGGGGUGACGGGCCUUUGGUUUUAAAACCCUUUUGUUAGGGGCGAAGCGCGAUGUGACGGUACCUAGAGAAAAAGCCCCGGCUAACUACGUG
rnacentral:rRNA from 1 species